GUGGUACAUAUCUUUAUUUACUUUUUCGAGGUAAUGUACAAAUGAUUUUACAGAACUUAAGGGUAGAAGUAACGUAGCUGCUCUGUGUUCCACGCGUUGUUGUAGACCUCCCCUUCCUCGUUGGCGAGCAUGUAUGUGCCGGGUCGGAGGACUUCGGCGAUGACGAAGGGUCCUUCCCAAGGAGGCAUGAGCUGGUGGCGGCCUUUGUUGCUCUGUCUGAGCCUCAGCACCAAAUCGCCGACUCUGAAGGCUCAGCCUCGAUGACCAAAUCGCCGACUCUGAAGGCUCAGCCUCGGACUCAUCGAGCGUGGUAGCACCGAAGGGCCUACUGGUACUUAGCCGAGUGUAGGAAGCUACAUCCCUAGCUUCGUCCAGAUGGUCCAGCGCAUCUUCUCGUAAACUUUUAGAAUUUUGAAAACAUCUAAACAAGACCCAAGUUUGCUUUUUCUUUGUUCUAAAAAAAGUCAUUGCUCGCCCAGCGCUUCAUGUUUAGCUCGCUGGAAGAGAAGCCAGAGGAAGGGGAGCGACUACCGGCCUUAUGGGCACAGACCUCACCUCAUCGAUUAUCACUAUUAGUUGUCAUCGCCAGGCUAGACAAGCCUGGAUCAUUCAUGCCUGACUUGCUCAACAAACAGGACUUUCUUACCGCGUCAGGUUGGUCAGGAAAAAAAACUUCGAAUCGACAAAUGGUAAACAAACACGAGGCUCA
rnacentral:lncRNA from 1 species